GGAUCCAUUAGCGUUGUUUGCAGGAUGCCAGAAGGUGUUUUCCUGGGAGCCUCAUGCAUGAAAUAUAGUGGCAUAUCGGAGCCAGCCACUUUGGAGUCCCUUGCCUGUCGCGAGGCUCUGGAGCUGGCAAUGGACUUGCACCUGGAGAGAAUUCUCGUUGCAUCUGAUUGUCAAAUUGUGGUUCGAGAUAUUCAGAGUCGGACGGGCGGUGCAUAUGCAACUGUUAUCAAGGAAAUUAGCGCGAGAGCAGCAAAUUUCCAACAAUGUUCCUUCAUCUUUGAAAGAAGAGAUUCGAAUGUUGAGGCGCAUAGCCUCGCUAUACACGCUUUUGGUCUGGAAUCGGGGCGCCAUGUGUGGCUCUUAAACUGUAACAUCCCAAAAUUCUAA
rnacentral:rRNA from 1 species